rnacentral:rRNA from 1 species
UACGGAGGGUGCGACCGUUAAUCGGAAUCACUGGGCGUAAAGCGCGCGUAGGCGGUUCGUUAAGUGGGAUGUGAAAUCCCCGGGCUUAACCUGGGAAUUGCAUUUCAAACUGGCCGACUAGAGUACGGUAGAGGGAGGUAGAAUUUCCUGUGUAGCGGUGAAAUGCGUAGAUAUAGGAAGGAAUACCAGUGGCGAAGGCGGCCUCCUGGAUCGAUACUGACGCUGAGGCGCGAAAGCGUGGGGAGCAAACAGG